AGCGUACGGUACAUUUAGCGGCUGCAUAAGACUACAGAAAAGAACAUCAAGAGAAAACAGUUCUAUAUAGCUGAAUGCGAAACGUGCGCGAAGUGAGCAGCUGCAGCAGGCAACCCCAUUGGCCAACUGAGUGAAGUUGAAAAGCUGCCUUCGAAUUUUUUAGCCUGCGAGCAAUUAAAAUAUGCAUAAAAUGUAAAUGAGAGAAGACCACUUGGCAUAGCAAUCUACACGCCAACCCACCCACCCCAUAGACUCCAACUGAACUUUUUUUCCCACCCACAACAACACAAAACUCGUUUAGCGCAAACGCAAUUUUGUGCCAACUCAUGUAAUUAAAGUGCAAGAACAACAAGAACAAAACGGACAAUGUGAAUGAAUAUUAUUUAAUUAUGAGAUAAUCGUGCAAAUCACAAAGCACAACAAAACAAACCAAAACCAAAAUCAAAUAACGACAAAAGCACGCCGAAAGGAUAUUAAAGCAACGACGAGGACAACGACUACGACGACAGCGUAUAAAAAAAGGGUUCAAACUUUGCCACGCGGAUCGCGAUGCACACGAGGCAAAUACUGGCGGCAAGCUGCUGGCAGGCAAUGCAAACACACAGUUCCUGUGUCAUAUUCCACACACACACAUAGACGC